AGCUGCGGCCGCGGCGGCGUUAAGUUCGCAGAGUUCUAGAUUCUUUCAGCAGCAGAUGGGAGAGGCUUCAGCUGCUAGAGUUGGAAAUUACUUACCAAUGACUCAAGGGCAUCUCAAUUUGCUAGCUUCUCUAUCAGGUCCUCCACAGCCUUCUUCCGGGAGAAGAGACGACGACGGACGCUGAAGAUAUGAAUAUUAUUAUUGUUAUUGAUAUUGUUAUUGUUGUUGUUAAUAUAUCGUAUAAAUGUGUUUUAAUGUUCUUGAUUGUGUUAGAUGAGAAAUUUGUUGCUAGGUUCUAGUGAGUGAGAAAUGAACUAGGGGUUUGUUCAAUUUCAUGAAUUAUUGCUAGGAUUAGGUUUGUUUGCUUUAUCUCAUUUGUCAAGAGUUUACGUUCACCGAGUUUUGGUGUUGUAAGCUGUGGGACGAUAACACGAAACACAAGCAUCAGGGGAAGUUGUUGCUUGUGAUGAAUUUGGUGGGUUUGUUCUGUUGUUUGCAGACCUCAUAAUAAGCUGCUUUGAUCACUUUGUAACAAGAGAUAAUAGGGGAUCAGUGUGGACUAUGAAAACCUGUAGUUCCACAUGAAUAUUUUGUAAGGAAACCGUGGAGGUUUCCGUUGAAUUUAAUUCUGUAAUUUGUUGAAACUAUAUCAGUUGUGAGCUUAAACUUUCCUACUCAAAAGAGUGCUAUGGACUUUAAUUUAUUACUGAACUUACAUUGUGUUAUCUUGAAUGGGUGCUAUAAUUAGAUGUUUUCGACAUCUCAGUGAUUGAGUUGCCACCAUACUGGAUAAAAUGAAGUAUUUAUUUAUUGCAUAUCUGGAUUCACCUGUCGACUGAUCAACUAAUGCAUGGGACAGUUUGAAGUUGAAUCAUGUGAAAUGCUGUGGAGCCGAACAUAUAAGGAGGAUAGAACUCUAAAUUUCUAUACUCAAGCUUUCUUAGAUUGGUUAUGGAUCAGAUAAUUUUGCUGCAGCUUGAUGUCUAUUCUAUGUAUAAGUGUGUGAUGUGUACCAGAGAUUCAAAAUGGAACAGCUCAAGUUUCAACAGAAGAGUAUUUGAUGAUUAUUUACGUUAAUGAUCUUCAUGCUAUAUAAGUUCCUCAGUAGUACUCAGAAGAUUAAACUGUAGUUGUUAAAAAUGUUAUAGUAUAUCAUACAUUUAUGGAUGACAUGAUGCCGUAUUCUAUCAUGUGCUGCUUCAACUUGGAGGAGGAAGGAAUUAACACUGCAGCAUCUGGGAGGAUUCUGCUCUGCAGCAUCUGAGAUUAACGAUACCUUUCAGCUUUAAUUUUGCAUCAGAUUAGGUAAGAUGUGGUUAAAUUCUUUGAGCUUUACUUGUGAUUCUUUUAUAAUCUCCUAAGUUUAGAAUAUAAGGCAUAUAGACAACUUAUCAGAUCUGACCUUAGAAAGCAAGAAACAAAACGAUUUUGUGACAUCUGCUUAGUCUUAUUUCAAGCUGACAAUGAUCUAGGAACGUCUUGCUAGCUAUCCUGUUUGGAAAGCAAGAAGGUUUAUGUAUGUCUUGGAGAUUUGCAGCCCCCCCCAAAUGUUUCAAUGUAGAUUGGUUCUCUAAUAUAGGGCAAUGUCUUGCUUUGUUACCUGCAUUUACCUUUUCAAACAAAGAUACAAUUACUAAAAAGAGUGACUCUACUGGUUUUUUUCGAACUUCACUUAUUUCUUGAGUUGCUGAAGUUUUAUUAGAUUUAAACUAAAAUUUCCUGUGUUUAUACUAUUUUUUUACGAGCCGUUCAGCAAAUAUGUUCUCUAGAGCUGGCUGAUUUUCUUUCUGCAUUAAUUUCAUCUAUAGUAACCAUCCAGAGUAGCAAGUGGUGCAAGACUACAAACUUUGUUGAAUCUGAAGUCUUAAUGCUUUGGUUGAUUUUCUAUUUGCUUCCCACUUUAUGACACAAUUGAUAUACACUGGAAGGUAAUGUUAUUGUUUUCAGCAUGCCUAUUUAUCAUAUUAGUCGUCUUCUCUCGUGUUAAUCUUGCUGUAUCUGUUUCUGUUCAUAUUCCUAUGAAAAUAUCUGUUUCAAUCACGGGAAUAGACAAUAAACAUGCCAUUUCCGCAAUAUUAGACAGAUAGUUUGUCUAAUAUUGGGUGGCAUCCACUCUAUGAACCUGCUUGUUUAAUGAUCUCAUUAAAUUUUGGGAUAAGUCAAGUUUAAGACGCGAACCAUGGGUGCCAACUACUUGAAGAUGUCUAUGUUCUCAAUGUGUUACUCUUGCCUCUAUUGCUCAGACUCUUCAAAAAUGUUGAUGGGUGCGUGUUAGAUCCUAAAAGAGUAAUGAACUUUUGUAGGAUCUGACACCAAUGCAACAAUAUUUUUGGUGAGUCUGAGCAAAACAUAGACUCUUGCUAAUAUGGUGUUCCCUAACGAUUAUCACAUAUGGAAUUUCAGUUCAGUUGUGAAAUGAACACAUAAUUUGUAGUCUAAAUUAGCAGAACAAUUUUCUCUUUCCAGGAGAAUAAGAUUGUAUAUACUAUCAGUAUCGAUCAUAGUUGAGCCUUGGUUGCCUUGAUUAUGUCUAUUUGUCUCAUAAAUAGUUACUUUUUUGAAGGAGAGAUUUCCAGGGAACAACAUAAAGCAUGCUCAAGAACUAACAACUUCUUGAGAACAGUUUUAUUAAGAAACAAUGGAGCUUUUAUUUCUCAACUCUGUGUGAAGACUGCCUUUUUGUCUCCUAACAACUUUCUGUAUUAUUUUAAACACUUGAUGUUGUACUUGAAUGCUUACUCGUUAUUCAUUUCUCCUCAGAAGGGAAGCCUUGGACCAAUAGUUAAGUUUUGCGUAAGUUCUUAGUCAUUGUUUGAGCUAUGGUGGAAUCAACCACUGAUGCUUGCUUCAGGUGCGGCCCUUCCACGUACCCUGCAUGCAGUGGCGGAGCCAGGAAUUUCACAAAGUGUGUCCAUAAAUAGCACAACAAAAACUCUUUUUCAAAAAGUAGAACUAGUGAGAUUCGAACAUACGAGCACUUCCUCGUUCCAAGGAGGGGAAACCACUGGGCUAUAACAACUUGUUAUGUUAAGGGUGUCCAAAAUAUAUUAUUUAAUCAUUUUACUUGAAUAUACUGUAUUUUUUUCCGACGAAGGGUGUCCAAUUGGAGACCACCAUGUGGCUACGCCACUGCCUGCAUGCACCUGCUUCCUUUCUUAUUCAAUUCUGCCUCACUACAAUAGUUCAUUGGUUUCUUGGAACAUAAUUUUUUCCUCAGCCACAGAGGAGGAAUUAUCUGAGGAAUAUGUAUAUAUCCCUUUCUUAGGGAUAAUUACGA
rnacentral:lncRNA from 1 species